rnacentral:rRNA from 1 species
GUACACUCCUACGGGAGGCAGCAGUGGGGAAUAUUGGACAAUGGGCGCAAGCCUGAUCCAGCCAUGCCGCGUGAGUGAUGAAGGCCCUAGGGUUGUAAAGCUCUUUCACCGGAGAAGAUAAUGACGGUAUCCGGAGAAGAAGCCCCGGCUAACUUCGUGCCAGCAGCCGCGGUAAUACGAAGGGGGCUAGCGUUGUUCGGAAUUACUGGGCGUAAAGCGCACGUAGGCGGAUCGAUCAGUCAGGGGUGAAAUCCCAGGGCUCAACCCUGGAACUGCCUUUGAUACUGUCGAUCUGGAGUAUGGAAGAGGUGAGUGGAAUUCCGAGUGUAGAGGUGAAAUUCGUAGAUAUUCGGAGGAACACCAGUGGCGAAGGCGGCUCACUGGUCCAUUACUGACGCUGAGGUGCGAAAGCGUGGGGAGCAAACAGGAUUAGAUACCCGAGUAGUCCCCAUGAU